GAUUUACAAUGUCUAGAGGUAUUGUGAAACUGCAGAACACCUUGUUGUGCAUUGUUCAUUUGCUAUGAGACACUAUCCUUCUCUUUUUCUUAAAUGGUUUCUGAUUGAUGCCUUGUUCUAUUGGAAAAGUUUCGAGUAGAUAGCAUGGAAAUGAAGGAAUGUAGGGGGUUUUCUCUUAAAGAAGUGUGUUUAAGGUUUUUGAGGUUAAAAAAGACGUUAUGAGGGAAAGGAAAUUGGCAAUCAAAAUGAAAGUCUUGAGAAUGCUUCUCCUUGGCUUUUCAUCUAUCUCAUAUGUAAU
rnacentral:misc_RNA from 1 species